GAUGAACGCUGGCGGCGUGCCUAAUACAUGCAAGUCGAGCGAACAGACGAGGAUCUUGCUCCUCUGACGUUAGCGGCGGACGGGUGAGUAACACGUGGAUAACCUACCUAUAAGACUGGGAUAACUUCGGCAAACCGGAUCUAAUACCGGAUAAUAUAGUGAACCGCAUGGUUCAAUAGUGAAAGACGGUUUUGCUGUCCCUUAUAGAUGGAUCCGCGCCGCAUUAGCUAGUUGGUAAGGUAACGGCUUACCAAGGCGACGAUGCGUAGCCGACCUGAGAGGAUGAUCGGCCACACUGGAACUGAGACACGGUCCAGACUCCUACGGGAGGCAGCAGUGGGGAAUCUUGGGCAAUGGGCGCAAGCCUGACCGAGCAACGCCGCGUGAGUGAUGAAGGUCUUCGGAUCGUAAAACGCUGUUGUUAGGGAAGAACAAAUGUGUGAGUAAAUAUGCGCGUGUUGACGGUACCUGAUGAGAAAGCAACGGCUAACUACGUG
rnacentral:rRNA from 1 species